GGGGGAAUAUUGCACAAUGGGCGCAAGCCUGAUGCAGCGACGCCGCGUGAGGGAUGACGGCCUUCGGGUUGUAAACCUCUUUCAGUAGGGAAGAAGCGAAAGUGACGGUACCUGCAGAAGAAGCGCCGGCUAACUACGCGCCAGCAGCCGCGGUAAUACGUAGGGCGCAAGCGUUAUCCGGAAUUAUUGGGCGUAAAGAGCUCGUAGGCGGUUUGUCGCGUCUGCCGUGAAAGUCCGGGGCUCAACUCCGGAUCUGCGGUGGGUACGGGCAGACUAGAGUGAUGUAGGGGAGACUGGAAUUCCUGGUGUAGCGGUGAAAUGCGCAGAUAUCAGGAGGAACACCGAUGGCGAAGGCAGGUCUCUGGGCAUUAACUGACGCUGAGGAGCGAAAGCAUGGGGAGCGAACAGGAUUAGAUACCCUGGUAGUCCAUGCCGUAAACGUUGGGCACUAGGUGUGGGGGACAUUCCACGUUUUCCGCGCCGUAGCUAACGCAUUAAGUGCCCCGCCC
rnacentral:rRNA from 1 species